rnacentral:lncRNA from 1 species
GCUGUGAUUUUAUGUCUUUUGUUGCCACCACACAUAGCUUUCCAGGCUGCUUCUUGAACUUCUUUAGGCACCCCAUGACAAAUGGCAACAUUAUGCCCUUCCUCUCCUGAUAAAUGCCAUUUGAUCCUUGAAAUGGAGGUUUUAUUGGCAAAUGUGUGUUGACAAAACUUACACUUCAUGCUACCAUCAGUCCUAUCUUCAAUAUAAUUCCAAAAUGAAUCCUUUGAUCGAACCAUUUCAACCUAUAUAAAAAAUGUAGAAAUGUAAAGAACUAUAAAGAGCUGCCCUGCAUUUACUGAUGAAGGAAAAGAACAGUGAACUUAGUUCACGAUUGAGAAGAACAAAUGCUUAAGUAAAACACAGAGCUUUGAUUAUCAAAUGUAAAGAACAAAGAGCAGAAUUGAGUUAGUUGGUUACUGCCAUCCCAAGUCUUUAUUUAUAAAGGGAAAGAAACAGAAUUUGAAUGGAAAACAAUAACUAGAAACGUGCCUGCCUUCUUCUCCUUUAUUUAAGGAGAUGAUUACAAGUUAAUUCAAUCCUAGAUAAUCUUAACAAAGAAAUCAAAAACAUAUCCUACACUAGAUAAUAGUCUCAGCUAAAAUAAAGAAAUAAUGCAGCAGUGAAUUACUGCUAAGUCUUCUGCUUCUGCUAGCUUAGGUACCAAGCUUCAACACUCCUCCUUGGUUCCAAAGCUAGUCAUUCCAAUUCUUGCCCUUAGAUCUUCAAACCUGGUUUUACCCAACGGUUUGGUGAAAAGAUCUGCUAGUUGAUCUUCAGAAGUGCAGUAGCACAGUUCCAGUUCUCCUUCUUGUUGAAACUGCCUGAGUGCAUGAAACUUGAUCUUCAUGUGCUUGGUUUUAUCAUGGAAGACAGAGUUUUUAGAAAUGGCUAUAGCUGAUGUAUUGUCACAAAACAAUGUUGUGGGAUUGUGUUGAUUGCAGUCUAAGUCACUUAGCAUCUUCCUCAGCCAUAUCAGUUGUUUUGCUGCUACAUAAGCAGCUAUAUAUUCGGCUUCUGCAGUAGAAUGUGCCACCACCGAUUGUUUCUUUGAAUUCCAGCAAAACAUACUCUUUCCCACAGCAAAACAGUAGCCUGAUGUGCUCAUCAUUCCUUCAUCACUUCCUCCCCAAUCACUGUCUGAAAAACCAACAAGAUUAAUUGAGCCGGACUUCACAAAGUGUAUGCCAAAACCUGCAGUCCCUCUUAGAUAUCUUAAUACUCUCUUAGCUGCCACAAAGUGAUUUUGACUUGGCUCUUGCAUGAACCUGGAAAGAUAAUUCACAGCAAAUUGAAUGUCAGGACGUGUGGCUGCUAAAUACAGCAAACUCCCAAUUAGACUCCUGUAGAUUUUCCCAUCAGCUUUUGGUGAGCCAUCCUCUUUCAUUAGCUUCUGCCCCUGUAUCAUAGGAGUGCUUACUGGCUUGCAAUUGUUCAUUGCAAAACUGUCCAGUAUUUUCAAAGAAAAACGUUGUUGACAAAGAAAAUAACCUUGAUCAGUUUGAGUUACUUCCAUUCCUAAAAAAUAAGUCAACAAACCAAGUUCAUUCAUCUCAAACAUGUCUUUCAUAUUGGUUUUGAAUUCCUCUACAAGCUGCUCCUUAUCCCCUGUGAUUAGUAAAUCAUCAACAUAAACUGAUACAAUUAGUUUAUGUCCAGCAGCAUGCUUCACAUAUAAAGUUACCUCAUUCAUGCUCCUGUUAAAUCCCAAGCUUAAGAGAUGAUUAUCCAACCUGCUAUACCAAGCUCUAGGAGCUUGUUUCAAUCCAUACAAUGCUUUCUUCAGUAAAUAAACCUUGUUUGUUGAAUUAGAUUUUUCAAAACCAGCAGGCUGCUCAACAUAAAUCUCUUCAUCUAGCACCCCAUUCAAAAAUGCAGAUUUAACAUCCAAUUGAAAUAUAUACCAACCGUUUUGUGCUGCUAGAGCAAGCAGGAGUUUCAUUGUUUCAUGUCUGGAAACUGGAGCAAAAGUUUCUGUGAAGUCGAUCCCUGCCUCUUGUGAAUAUCCUUUCACUACAAGUCUGGCCUUAUGCUUGUUGAUCUUUCCAUCUGCAUUUACUUUUGUUUUGAAAAUCCAUUUCACUCCAAUCACCUUCUUAUGAGCUGGUCUGUCAACUAGCAUCCAUGUUUGAUUCUUGUCUAUCAUUGCAAGCUCCUCCUUCAUUGCUGCUAUCCAAACUUGAGAGUUCAUGCUUCUUCAACAUUUACUGGUUCUGCCUCGCUACAUUGCACCUGCUAUAGAUAUCUGAUAGAGAUCUUGUCCCUCUUACUGGUUGAUCAUCACUGUUUUCUGCAGCAUCCAAGUCAGUUUGUUGCUCAAUAUUCCCAGCAACAUCUGUUUGUUGAUUAAUCAUGUUUGCAUCAUCCAACUCAUCUUGUUGCAUCGGUUUUGAUUCUUCAUUUGAUGAAUUUUUCCAGUUCCAAGCUGCAUUUUCUACAACUUUGACAUCUCUAGCAACCACCACUUUGUUAACAUUCAAAUCAUAGAUUUUAUAAGCUUAGAAUUUGUACUAUAGCCUAUAAGAAUCCCUAUAUCAGCCUUUUGAUCAAGUUUCCUUCUUCUGACUUCAGGUUUCAGAACAUAACAAAUACUUCCAAACACCUUUAAAUGAUCAAUACUGGGUUUAAAACCAUACCAGAGUUCAUAAGGAGUUUUAUCUGCCAAAACUCUUGAAGCCAUUCGGUUUAUAAGGUAUGCUGCUGUGUUUACUGCUUCUGCCCAGAAAUUCAAUGGCAACUUCUUCUCAUAGAGCAAGCAUCUAGCCAUCUCCAUCAAUGUUCGGUUUCUUCUUUCACUUACACCAUUCUGCUGUGGUGUGUAGGGAACAGUCAGCUGGUGUUUAAUCCCUUCUUUAGCAAGGUAUGCUUCAAAUUGUCGAGAGGUAUACUCUCCUCCAUUGUCAGAUCUCAAAGUCUUCAAUUUGUUUCCUGUUUCUAGUUCAACUGCUGCCUUGAACUUAACAAACUCAGCAAACACAUCAGCUUUGGAUUUUAGAAAAUAAACCCAGCAAUACCUGCUAAAAUCAUCAAUAAACAGAAGAAAGUACUUUGAACCAUUUAAUGAUUCAUUGUGCAUAGGUCCACACACAUCUGUGUGUACAAGCUGAAGUUUAGAUACUGCCCUGUAUGCAUUUUCUGGAAAAACAGUUCUGGUUUGUUUUCCCAGCUGACAAGCCUCACAUAUAGUUUGCUGCUCCUGAAUAUUUGGCAACCCGUGAGCCAUCUGCUGGUCAGCCAUUCUUUUUAAAGUAGCAUAAUUGAAGUGUCCCAGCCGUUUGUGCCAAAGAACAGAUUCCUUGCACUCAUAAGUAUUAGCACUUAAACACACUUCAUUCCAAUUAACAUUAAAGCUUCGGUUCAUCAUUUUUGCAGACAGUAAAAGCAUUCCAUUUCUAUCUUUAAUGUCACACACUCCAUCAUUAAAAACUAUUGAAUAUCCAGAUUCAAUCAAUUGACCCACACUAACUAGAUUUGGUUGAUCUUAGGCACAUAAAGAACAUUUUUAAGAAUUUUUGUACCUGACAGUGUUUCUACUGCAAUUGCUCCUUUUCCUUCAACUUUCACAAGUCUCCAUUGCCAAUUCUGACUUUAGACAGGUAGCUUCUAUCCAAGUCUCUGAAUAAGCUUAAGUCUGCUGUCAUAUGAUUAGUGCAGCCGCUAUCAAUGAGCCAUGAUGAGUCCUUUGUCUCUGCUGAAUUACAUAUGUCCUGAACUGUGACCAUGAAUAGAAGUUCUUCUUUGACUUCUGAACAAUCGGCUACUUGUGCUUGUUGUUCAGUUUCUGUUUUAUUUUUGCAGAAUCUUUGAUGUGACCAAAUUGCUUGCAUUUUCGGCAUUGAGCAUUCUUGAGCCAACACCAGGCUUCAAGAUGAUUGUUUUCUGACAGUAUUUGCAAGCAGGAAAAUGUUCUUUCUUCUCUUUCCCCCUCAUGAAACUGUUAUUGUUGUUCUGUUGCCAGUUAGCAGAUUUCCAGUCUCUCCCUUUUUCUCUUUUUCCUUCUUGAUUAUUUCUGAAGAUGUUCUUAGCCCGACCCUUAUCCUUGUAAACUGCAACAAGAGCUCCUUCACUUGAUCCUUCUUGUCUAUAUGCUUGCCUUUGCUCCACAGCUUGCAAUGCAUUCACCAAUUCUUGCAGCUUAUCUCAGAAAAAUCUUUAGAAUCUUCUAAAGAACAGAUUUUAUGUUCAAAUUUUCUGGCAAACUCACCAGGACUUUCUCUACAAUUCUAGAGUCUGGAAAAUCUUCUCCCAAGAGUCUUACUUGAUUCACAAGUUUUGAAAUUUGAGAAGAGAAAUCUUUGAUGCUCUCAUUUUCUUUCAUCUUCAGACCUUCGAAUUGUCUUCUCAGAUUCAGAAUCUGCAUCCUUCUUGAUUUCUCAUCACCAUGGAACUCUGCUUUUAAUUUAUCCCAUGUUUCCUUGGCAGAUUUGCAUGCCAUGAUCCUCGUGAAGAUGUCUUCACUUACAGCAUUAUGAAGACAAGAAAGAGCUUUGAAUCUCUUUGCCUUUUCUUCAUUAAAGAACUUCAUCUGUGCAAUUGUGGGAUUGUUACCUAGAGGAGUAGGUUGCCUAUCACUUUCCACUAUCUCCCAUAAAUCAAGAGCUUUGAGAUAGGUUUCCAUUUUUACAGCCCACACACCAAAAUUCUGCCCUGCAAACAAUGGUGUUUUUGCUGGAAAAUUUGCAGAAUCCAUUGCUUAAAAAAAAACUCACUCAAUCUCUCGUGUAUCACUCACCAGCCCUCAAAGUAAAACUUUGAUUUAUCCUCACAGUACUCUCGUGUUUCUCACUCACAAAGAAUCCCUUCAAAGAUCAAAAAAAGCUCUGAUACCAAUUGUAGAAAUGUAAAGAACUAUAAAGAACUGCCCUGCAUUUACUGAUGAAGGAAAAGAACAGUACUUAGUUCACGAUUGAGAAGAACAAAGGCUUAAGAAAACACAGAGCUUUGAUUAUUAAAUAUAAAGAACAAAGAGCAGAAUUGAGUUAUUGGUUACUGCCAUCCCAAGUCUUUAUUUAUAAAGGAAAGAAACAGAAUUUGAAUGGAAAACAAUAACUAGAAACGUGCCUGCCUUCUUCUCCUUUAUUUAAGGAGAUGAUUACAAGUUAAUUCAAUCCUAGAUAAUCUUAACAAAGAAAUCAAAAACAUAUCCUACACUAGAUAAUAGUCUCAGCUAAAAUAAAGAAAUAAUGCAGCAGUGAAUUACUGCUAAGUCUUCUGCUUCUGCUAGCUUAGGUACCAAGCUUCAACAAAAAAAAGGUAAGUCAAAAUAAAGAAUAAAAAUUGAUGCAAGUUACACCAUAUCCAGAUGGAUGAGAAACUACUUCUUCAGUGUUGUUACCCUUAUUUUGCUAUUAAAAUUGAUAGUUAGUUUAUUGCACAAUCAUAGGAGGGAAAAAGACGACGAUAAUUCAGUUAUACUUCUUACUUGUUGAGUAUUUAAACCCCUAUUUUGACUUUGCAGGGAAGUGCCAAGGCCAGGAUUUGAGGCAUUUGGCGUAGCAGUUUGAUUUUGCAAUCCUCGAACUUGGAGGUUAUCCAUCUGUGACCUAUAUAUAAAUGAAGUGAUCAUAUUAUAAAACCUUUCCAUAAUUGGUAGUCUCUCUUAAGCAGUAAAAGUUAAUGGUGUUAAAACACAACAGCUAGAAGUCAAUCAGUACCUAGGCACGAAGUUCUCUUGUUGGACAUUGUCUAUGUUAGGAAUUACAGGUCGAUCGACUUGUCCUUGAUUACAAAAAUAUUGACUCCUGAAUCCAAAACCAUUUGCAAACAAUAUGUUUAGCUUGUUGGGUUCAUGUUCAAGCCAUGAUGUUUCUUUCCUGAUUGAAAAACUAAUUUUUUUUUUAUAUAGAAAAUACUAAACGUGAAAAAUUGGAUACCAGGGAGCAGGAAAAGAAGGUCCAGGUUGAAUGAAGCCACCAUGUUCUGAAGUGGUUGCGUUCGGUGUCAUAUAGGCAUGUCCCGGCUGAGGUUGAUGAAUAUUGGAGUUCUGAUGCCUGAAGAAUAUUCAAAUAGUUAAACUUAGAACUGUUAUGCUGACUUGGUUGAUUUUCUAGUUCCAUUAUGUGCACAAAAAAAGAGAGAUAGAGAGCUCAAAAAGACUUGAAAGAUCCUCGUCAAUUUUGGUCAAGUUUAUUGUUUUCAUGAUUAAAAAAGCUUAAAUUCAUUCAUUGAUUUAAUCAUUGAUUCAUUGGAGGUUGAGGUCCAGGUAGCAUCACAGGCACUUCAUUCAUUGGAGGUUGAGGUCCAGGCACUUGAUUGCUCAUUAGUAACUGAUAAUCAGUCCAUUGUUGGUCCCUAAAUUAGCAACAUUUGUUAGUAAUUUCUUUAUACAUAUAGCAUGGGAUUGGCACAUCGAGGAUCAGAUAAAUUAGGAUGAGGCAGAUACCUAUAUUCAAAUAUAAUGAAUUCAUUUAGUGUAAUACAUUGGCAUCACUGAUAAGAAUAUUAGGCAGAUAAGUAGAACAACAACAAGAAGUUAAAUAAUUAUGAAUAUUAUGUACAAGAAGAAUUUAAAUAAUGAUUAUUCUCACUUAGUUGAUUUUCUAGUUUCAUUAUGUGAAGCAAAUCAGGAGACAGGGGAAACAUGGGGAAGGCAAGGACUCUUGAAAGCUGAUUAAAGCUUAUUAGCUGUAGUUAUUAUUUCCUAUUUAGCUGAUAGGUUCCUAGUCAGAUUAGUAUUAGAUUUCAAUUACGUAUUAGAUCGUAAUUCCUUAGCUGUAGGGUAUUUAAGAGGGGAACAGAACAAAAGAUGGGACAUUAUUUGUAUUCUUGGCAAUUACUUUCUUUAAAUACAAAUUGGAGUGAUUCAUCUACAUAGAUAUUCUGUAUUAAAUUAUUUAUUGUUCUUACUGGGAGCAACGAGAGGUUGUACCGGAGGGCAUUUACAUUAAUAUGUGCAUAAAAAAAAAACAGAGAGAGAGAGAAAGAGAUAGAGAGCUCAAAAGAAGUUAAAUAAUGAUGAAUACCUUGAUGGAGUUUGAGGCCAAUUUGGUUCAUUUUGGUUGAUCCGUGAUGAUAUCGAGCUUUGGUUGUCUGGAACCUCCGGUGGCAGCCUGCUUCCAUGGACAGUGACAUUAUUAGGAUAAACGGAAGAAUAACUAAAUUGCAAGCAAUCAUCUUCUGAUAAAAUAUGCUUAAGAAUGACGUACGAGAGAAACUCAGAAAUAUUGAAUGUAUCUUCAAUGGUGUAUCUAAUUAUAAAAAUGAAGUGAUCAUUGUUAAAUAAUAUUUAUGUAGUCUUAUUUAUUAAGGGUAGAAUAGUACUUUCAGUUUAACCUAUAUAUACUUUAUUUGUAUUUAGGUUAAGACUAUGCAUUCAUAAUAAACAGAUUAUUCAGAAUUGUAGCCUCCUUUUUGUGUUUGAUCUCAAUAAGUUUAACAUGGUAUCAGAGCUGGUUUUAUGAAACGAGGCUUAAUCCCAAAUACAGCUUCGCGGAUCCAAUUUUUUUUUGAAGUGAUAUUUUGUCUUCCGCUUCUACAAAAUUGGGUAUUUCGACAGUUUCUAUAAUUAUUUUGGUAUUUCGACAGUUUCUGCAAUUAUUUUGGUAUUUGCAUUCAGUUUUUGCAAAUUUAUUUUGUGUUUUGGAGUAAUCGUAUAAUUUCGAGAAGAUAUUUGUUUAGUUUUUUGCAAUCUCUAUUCAGUUUCUACAAAUUGGUAUUUAGUUUUCCGCUGCUUUUGCAUUCUGGUUCUUUGUGACUGUUGGUUAUGGCUACUGAAAGAGAUGAUUCGCUUCAAUUUGUGAGUGUGAGGUUGGAUGGGAAGAACUAUUCGUAUUGGAGUUAUGUAAUGCGAAAUUUCCUUAAGGGUAAGAAGAUGUGGGGGUAUGUUAGUGGAACUUAUAUAAUACCUAAGAAUAUUGAAGAGGGGGAUGUUGUUUUGAUAGAUACAUGGGAAGCAAAUAAUGCAAAGAUUAUUACUUGGAUCAACAAUUCUGUUGAGCAUUCGAUAGGUAUGCAGUUGGCGAAGUAUGAGACAACAAAAGAGGUUUGGGAUCAUCUGCAAAGGUUAUUCACACAAUCAAAUUUUACAAAACAAUAUCAAUUAGAGAAUGACAUACGAGCUCCUCAUCAAAAGAAUAUGAGUAUUCAAGAGUUUUAUUCUGCUAUGACAGAUCUUUGGGAUCAAUUAGCUCUUACAGAAUCGGCAAAAUUAAAGGCAUGUGGUGCCUAUAUUGAGCGUAGAGAGCAGCAGCAAUUGGUACAGUUUUUAACAGCACUUCACAGUGAUUUUGAAGGACUUAGAGGUUCAAUUCUGCAUCGUUCUCCACUGCCUUGUGUUGACUUUGUUGUUAGUGAGUUAUUGGCUGAAGAAAUACGUCUUUAGUUUUAUUCUGAAAAGGGAAUUCUUUCUGCUUCAAAUCCUUCAUUAUUAGCAGUGUCUUCUAAGCCAUUCUCUAAUCAUCAGAAUAAGUCUUACACAAGGGUUGGCUUUGAUGAGUGCAAUUUCUGUAAGCAGAAAGGUCAUUGGAAAGCUCAGUGUCCUAAGUUGAGACAGCAUAAUCAAGCUUGGAAGUCUGGCAAUCAAUCACAAUCUAAUGCUCAUAGACCACCUCAGGGUUAUAAACCACCACACCACAAUACUGCAGCAGUAGCUUCCUCAAGCUCUAUUACCGAUCCUAAUAUUUUGGUUGAGCAAUUUCAGAAGUUUCUCUCCUUGCAGCCACAAGCAAUGUCCGCUUCUUCUUCCAUAGGUCAGUUGCCUCAUAGUUCCUCAGGUAUGUCACACUCUAAAUGGGCCUUGGAUUCUGGUACUUCUCAUCAUAUGUCUCCAGAUUCCUCAUCUUUUACCUCUGUGCCCCUUUUGUCCUCCAUUCCUGUUAUGACUACUGAUGGCACUCCUAUGCCCUUAGCAGGUGUUGGUUCUGUUGUCACACCUCACUUGUCUCUCACUAAUAUUUAUCUUAUUCCAAAACUCAAAUUAAAUCUUGCGUCUGUUGGUCAAAUAUGUGAUUCUGGUGAUUAUUUAGUCAUGUUUUAUGGUUCGUUUUGUUGUAUACAGGAUAUGCAGUCUCAGAAGCUGAUUGGGACAGGCCGUAGAGAGAAUGGACUAUAUAUUUUGGAUGAGUUAAAAGUGCCAGUUGCUGCUGCCGCCGCUGCUACUACUACCGUUGAUUUGUCUUCCUUUCGUUUGAGUCUUUCAUCUUCUAGUUUUUAUUUAUGGCAUUCCUGUCUAAGUCAUGUUUCAUCCUCUUGUUUGAGAUUUUUGGCAUCCACAGGAGCUUUAGGAAAUUUGAAAACUUGUGACAUUUCUGAUUGUAGUGGAUGUAAAUUGGCAAAAUUUUCCGCCUUACCUUUUAAUCGAAGUAUUUCUGUUUCUUCUUCACCAUUUGAUUUGAUUCAUUCUGAUGUAUGGGGACCUUCUCUUGUUGCCACAAAAGGAGGGUCUCGAUAUUAUGUCUCUUUUAUUGAUGAUCAUACUCGUUAUUGUUGGGUUUAUUUAAUGAAACAUCAUUCUGAAUUCUUUGAGAUAUAUGUAGCUUUUCGAGCUCUUAUCAAAACUCAAUAUUCUACUAUGAUUAAAUGUUUUAGGUGUGAUUUGGGUGGGGAAUACACCUCUAAUAAAUUUUGCCAAUUGCUUGCCUUAGAUGGAACCACCCACCAAACUUCUUAUUGCUGAAAAAAAAACAUAGGCACAUUGUUGAAACUGCUCGUUCUCUCUUGUUGUCUGCCUUUAUUUCUAGUGAGUUUUCGGGAGAAGUUGUUCUUACUGUUGUAAGUUUAAUUAAUACAAUUUCAUCUUCUCAAGUUCGGGUCUGUCUCCUUUUGAAAAGUUAUAUGGGUAUGUUCCUGAUUAUUCCUCAUUUAGAGUCUUUGGUUGUACUUGUUUCGUUCUUCGUCCUCAUGUAGAACGAAGUAAGUUAUCCUCUCGAUCCGCUAUUUGUGUUUUUCUAGGCUAUGGUGAAGGUAAAAAGGGUUAUCGUUGUUUUGAUCCAAUAACUCAGAAACUUUAUGUGUCUCGUCAUGUUGUCUUCCUUGAGCAUAUACCUUUCUUUUCUAUUCCAUCCACUACUCAUAACCUGACUAAAUCUGAUGUUAUUAGUAUAGAUCCGUUUUCUGAGGAUUCUAAUAAUGAUAUCUCUCCCCAUGUUCGAUCAAUUGGUACUCAUAACUCUGUAGGUACUGGUACUUUACUUUCUGGCACACCUGAAGCUCCAUUCUCAUCUACAGCCCCUCAAGCUUUAUCUGAGAUUGUGGAUCCACCUCCAUGUCAGUCCAUCCAUAUUCGUAAGUCUACAAAACUACCAGAUUUUGCUUAUUCUUGUUAUUCUUCAUCAUUUACUUCCUUUUUAGCUUCUAUUCAUUUACUUCCUAUUCGAGCAAUUUUUUUUGUUUCAACUUAGGCUCUGAUUCUGACUUAGUUUCGUACGAUAUGACCAUCCUGGGUAUAUUCUGUCACUCAUUACAUAUUGAAAAAUUGACGUACACCUUUAAUAGGUCCUAUGGAUCAUUGUUCUUAGAGCAGUUUCUCAGUCAGAUUUGGAUGCUCAACAUUGUCGGAUCAAGAACCUUUUUGACCAACUAGAUUACUGCUAGAUUCUGUUCUCUAAAACAAUUUUAUCUCACUUCAACUCUUUCAUCAAAGAUGUAGUCCUGGACGUGUAGAUAAAUUUGGACUUUUGAAUCGCUUGAUUUCAAUAUCAUAAGCUCAAAAUAUUCUUGUUUGAAUAUCUAACGUGAAGGCAGAGAAUUCUGCCGCGAGAAGGAUAUUGACUCGAGUCUGCUCUAAAAAAACUCUAUUUUUGGCCUAGUUUUUGUGAUUUUUGUUCUUAUUUCAUACUCUCAGUCAUAUCAGGAUUCUCGGCAUUCGUCAGUUUUUGAGUUAGACCUGGAGAUCCCUUUUGACCAACUAAAUUACUGUUAGAUUCUGUUCUGUAAAACGAUUUUAUCUCACUUCGACUUCUUCAUUAAAGUUGUAGUCCUCGAUGUGUAGAUGAAUUUGGGCUUUUGAAUCACUUGAUUCCGAUACCAGAAGCUCAAGAUAUUCCCAUUUGAAUAUCUAACGUGAAGGCAGAAAAUUCUGCCGCGGGAAGGAUAUAGCCCAAGUUCGCGGGGCUGAUUCGAAGGAUUUUUUUUGGACCAAGGACUGAAUCAAAAAGUUUUAAAAUGAGGGAUUGAAUUGAAGAAGGAUAUUGAAAGCUGGAGAGGGAGGAUGGAUCAUCAUAAAUGAUAGGAUUUUUUCCACACCAAUAAGGAAAAUGAGACCUUGCAGCUGCACCAUCCAGCUGAUUUUCUUUCCUUUUUCGCUGCAAAUUCUUGCUGUUUUUCCUUUAUCAUCAUGUCUGAUUUUGGGAGCUGCAACCACGUUUUUUCUGGCCUCAUUUCAAAGGGAGCAGCUGACCCUAUGGAAGGAAAGAAAACAACCACACCCUCCUCUAAAACUAGAAAGAAAUCAGACGUAAAGAACCAGCAUAAAGUCAGAAUAUUGCAGCUUCCUUUUGCAUUUUUUUUUACUGCAAAUCAGUAGGGAUUUACGUCCUAGGAUUAAUGCAUUGAAUCCUUCUUAAAUGGAGACAUUUUUAGACUAUAUAUAAGCCCUCUAAUGACCUAACGGGGGCAGAAAAAGAGAGAGCCGAAAGAGAGUAAAAAAUAGCAGAAAGAGAGCAGAAAAAAUAAACGAAAAACGCAAGAGAGGCAGGGAUUGAAAAAACAUAGAUAACAGGGGAACAUUGAGAGUUUGUUUUUUUCUUUGAUCCUUUUCGUCAAAAAGAGAAAGGAGAAUAGGGAGGCAGGCGACAGUAAAACCAGAAAAGCCAAUAGAACAAAAGAGGAAGUCUUUCUUUGGUUUUUUAGAGGCAAAACGCAGGAGCUUUUCUAUCGGGUUGUGUCUCAUCUUUUGCAUUUGAAACGUGCAGGAUCUGCAGGUAUGAGUCCCGACUUCCUUCAUCUUUGUCAUAUUUAAAGCUUUGUUUGGUUUUUGUUUUUCUGUUUGUUGCUUUUUGUUUUGGGGACGUUUAUUUUCAUCUUAGCAACAAAGUGGCUUGCUUGCAUACUGUCCAUCCCAUGUCUUUGAGUUUAGUUUAUUAUCACUGUUAGAGCUGCGUUUUUUUUUUUGUUUUACUCCCUAGUGAUGAGAAACUGUAAGCUUUAAACAUCCCUUUCUCCCGUCGCUCAAUCGUUCUUUUGCAAUGGAACGCUAAUUAGAAGCAAGUGUUUAAUUAGGUGCAGAAGAGAGGGUUGAAAAAAAAACGUGAGGGAGAGUCCCUUUCUUCAGUUAAUGCCGAUUCUGGGUUCACACCGUUUUCUUUCUUUCUUUUCUUUUCUUUUGUUUUUUGAGUUUGCAGGGAGGGGUCAUGGUUCAUGUUGUAAUUUUAUUUAGCUUGAGGACCUCGUUUUUUUUAUAUGUUUUGUGCACACUGACUUGUGUUUUUUUUUAAUUGGUGUGCCGAAACUUGUUUAUUUGAGAUGAAUUGUUUUAAGCUUCUUGCAAAUUUUGGAAUAGGUGAAUAUUUUUUGUGAUGUUUGUUUAAUCAUGUUAUUCAUUUUUUUUUAAGAAAAAAAAUGGUUUUUUCUUGUGUGUUGCAUACGGCCAUUACCCUAACAUGCUUUGAAUUUUUUUUUAUAUAUAAAAAAAUAUUUGAAGUUUCGAAAAAGGUGUUUUCGCAUGGAUUUCGUAAACAUAACAAAAAUUAUUUUCUUGCAUUUCUGGAUUCUACAACAUGUUUGUAAAACUCCAAAGGGUAUUGGCCAAUAUUUCAAAAAAAAAAAUCCUUUUUUUUUGGGGGGGGAAUUCAUCUAUUAUUCACCGCUAAUGUUUGGAUAAAGAAAUUCUCAAAGGAUGAAUAUCCAAAAUAUUAUUGGGAGUAAUAAAUCCGCACACAUCCUUGAAAGAAGCCUUGAUUAUAAUCGAGGACAUUUCAAUUUUUUUACUCCAAGGUUUAUGAGCCGUGAGAGUAUAAAACAUUAAAAAAUAUAUCUAUAUAUAGGUUUUUUUUUAGCGCCCUAGAUUUCUAAGAUUUUUGUCCCUCCUCCUUGCGAUUUACGAGUGCAAACUUUUGAAAUACUAAGGGAAAAAUGAGCUUUCAAAGCACAUGGAAUCUCCUUGGAUUUCUAUCCUAAUAAAUUUAGUUUGAAUCAAAUCUAGAAAAACAGAUGGGAUUAGAAAACACCAACACUAUAGCAAUUAUAGCGCAAACCAAACACCAAGCAGCUUACCUUAGGUAGGGCGUACUAGGGGUGCUAAUACCUUCCCUUUACGCAACCAGUCCCUUACCUUAGAAUCUCUGAAAGACUAGUUAGGGUUCCUAGUGACCAAAAUACUAGGUGGCGACUCUCAUAUUCACAAUAAAACAAAAGACCCUGAAAUAAAUCGAAAGUCGUCGCUCCGCCACGAGGGUGCGACACUCCUAUUGAGGUUAAUGCAAGGUACUCUUCUUCUGAUGGUUUACCUUUGAUAGAUCCUACUUUAUACCGCACUAUUGUUGGGAGUUUGGUAUAUCUCAUCAUUACUCGUCCAGAUAUUGCAUAUGUUGUUCAUGUUGUUAGUCAGUUUGUUGCUUCUCCUACUAUUGUUCAUUGGGUAGCUAUUCUUCGUAUUUUGCGAUAUCUUCGAGGUACAGUUUUUCAGAGUCUUUUACUCUCAUCCACCUCUUCCUUGGAGUUGCGUGCAUACUCUGAUGCUGAUCAUAGUAGUGAUCCCACAGAUCGCAAGUCUGUUACCGGGGUUUUGUAUCUUUUUAGGUGAUUCUCUUAUUUCUUGGAAGAGCAAGAAACAAUCUAUUGUUUCUCAAUCAUCCACCGAAACAAAAUAUCGUGCCAUGGCAUCUACCACAAAAGAGAUUGUUUAGUUACGUUCGUUACUUGCUGAUAUGGGAGUUUCCUUUUCUCAUCCUACUCCUAUGUAUUGUGACAACCAGAGUUCUAUUCAGAUUGCUCACAACUCGGUUUUUCAUGAGUGAACUAAGCACAUUGAGAUCGAUUGUCAUCUUACUCGUCAUCAUCUCAAGCAUGGCACCAUUACUUUGCCUUUUGUUCCUUCUUCCUUGCGGAUUUCUUUACCAAGGCGCAUUCCAUCUCUCAUUUUCGUUUUCUGGUUGGCAAACUCUCGAUGCUUGUAGCUGCCGCAUCGUGAGUUUGAGGGGAGAUGUUAAAUAAUAUUUAUGUAAUCUUAUUUAUUAAGGGUAGAAUAGUACUUUCAGUUUAACCUAUAUAUACUUUAUUUAUAUUUAGGUUGAGAUUAUACAUUCAUAAUAAACAGAUUAUUCAAAAUUGUAGCCUCCUUUUUGUGUUUGAUCUCAAUAAGUUUAACAAUCAUAUUAUAAAACCUUUCAAUAUUUGGUAGCAUCUCUUAAGCAGUAAAUAUCAAUGGUGUAUCUAAUUAUCAAAAAGGUGUUAAUACCGUGUUAAAACACAACAGCUAGAAGUCAAUCAGUACCUCGUAGAGUUGCCAGAGUUUCGAGGCACGAAGUUCUCUUGUUGCAUAUUGUCUAUGUCAGGAAUUACAGCAGCUUGAUCGUCUUGUCCUUGAUUAGAAAGAAAUUGAAUCCUGAAUCCAAAAUCAUUCGCAAGCAUUAUGAAGCAUUACAAACUUAUGAUUAUCUAGCUGGGUUCAUGUUCAAGCUAUGAUGUUACUUUCCUCUUUGAAAAACUAUUUCUUUUUUUUUUUUACAGCAAAUACUAAAUAUGAAAAAUUGGAUACCGGGGAGCAGGAAAAGAAGGUCCAGAUUGAUUGAAGCCACCAUUUUGUGAAGUGGUUGCAUUCGGUGUCAUAUAGCCUUGUCCCGGAUGAGGUUCAGGAAUAUUGGAGUUCUGAUGCCUGAAUAAUAUUCAAAUAGUUAAACUUAGAACUGUUAUGCUCACUUGGUUGAUUUUCUAGUUCCAUUAUGUGCACACAAAAAAAAGAGAGAUAGAGAGCUCAAAAAUACUUGAAAGAUCCUCGUCAAUUUUGGUCAAGUUUAUUGUUUUCAUGAUUAAAAAAGUGUAUAUAUAUUCGAGGUUAAUACCAUUGAUUUAUUGGAGGUUGAGGUCCAGGUAACAUCGCAGGCACUUGAUUGCUCAUUGGUAACGGAUAAUUAGUCCAUUGUUGGUCCCUAAAUUAGCAACAUUUGUUAGUGAUUUCUUUAUACAUAUGCAUAAUUGUUAGCUAUUAAUCCACUAAGCAUUUGAUAUCAUUUUAGCUUACCUCAAAGGCAUUGAUGGUCCAGGUAGCAUGGGAUUGACACAUUGAGGAUCAAAUAAAUUAGGAUUAAGCUGAUACGGUGAUACCUACAUUCAAACAUAAUGAAUUCACUGAUAAGUACAACAACAAGAGGAAGAAAUGAAGAAGUCAAAUAAUGAUUGAAAAACUUCUUCUUCUUUUUUUUAACAGAAAAUACUAAAAAUGAAAAAUUGGAUACCGGGGAGCAGGAAAAAGAAGGUCCAGGUUGAUUGAAACCACCAUGUUGUGAAGUGGUUGCGUUCGGUGUCAUAUAGCUAUUUCCCGGCUGAGGUCGAUGGAUAAAGGAAUUAUGAUGCCUUGAUGGAGUUUGAGGCCAAUUUUAUAUAAAACUUAAUGAUAAAAAAAUAUCAUAAAAAAGUCUAAAUCUCCCAAUUGUUGUCUGUUUGUUUAACAAUAAACAUUUUGAAGAUGCUCGAGAUAAAUUGAUAAACGAAAACAUAAGACUUUUUGAUCCAAUGGGUGAUACAAACACUUGCUAAUUCAAUGGAAAUUGUAGCAAAUUGGAGUAGGCAUGAGCACUCACCAUGGUUUGAGGAAAUGAAGGUGGAAACUGAUCAGUUGUUUGCUGAAUACUAUCGUUGAUCACAUUGUUAUCCACCACCAUGUUCUGUCCAUCUUGAUCAUUGCAUAAUAUGGAGCUUUGGUUGCCUGAAAACUCCGGUGGCGACCUGCUUAAUUUGUUAUUAGGAACAUUAUUCUUUUUUGGGAAUAAUAAGAAAAACUGUAGAAUAACUAAAUUGCAAGUAAUCAUCUUCUGAUAAAAUAUGCUUAAGAAUGACGCACAAGAGAAACUCAGAUAUAUUGAAUGAAUCUUCUUGUGAUUGAAAAUCGAACUGAUUCGAUGUCAAGUUGACAUCAUCCUCAUUACAAGACGGUGGGACUCCUUCCAUCUGAGGUUUAAAAAAGAACAGAAAGCACAGAUUAGAUAAGAAUAUAUAUAUAGACACACACACACGACUUAUUUAUUUGUUAAAGAAAUUCGGAUGAAAAAUAGGAAAUAUAAAUGUUGCUGUUAAUUAUUUAAUUCUUUGUUUUAAUGCUAAAUUAUUUGUCACUUGUUGUGAACAAGUUUAAUGAAAGAUAAUUAAUACUGAUCAAGUUAAUUCAUGAAUCAGUAAAAAACAACUUCAUUGAAUCAUUAUGUCAGAAAAAUAUUGGAUAAAAAUAAUUAAUGGCAGUCCCACAGGGCAUGGAUUACAAAAUCUAGUAUUGGAAAAGAAAUCCCAUAUAUAAGGAGUUAAAAACAGCAAAGAAUUUUGAAAAGACAAAAACAAUGAAUUCAAGGUUUAGGGUUAAUUUGGUAUGAACACCACAAGGCAUAGAUUACAAAAUCUGAGAAAAAGAUCGAUUUAUUUAUCAUGGAUUACUUUAAAGAUUCAGACAAGAUGAAGUACAAUUAAUUUACCUGGAUUCAAGAUGUUCUUCAAGUGCUAGCUGGUUUGCUUAAGCAGUGAUCAGCCAAAAGAAAAGGAAGAGAAAUCACAGAUCAGAGAAUAAUAUAUGGUUUAGAAAAAUAAUAAAGAUGCAGUAUACAUAAAUCUAGUUCGCACUGAUCAUGAGAUGUAGAAAGGAAAAUAGGGAAUUGUACAAUGAGAUGAGAUGUGGAAGAGAAUGUUACAGCAGCUAGCUCUUUUACAUAAUAUUAUUUAUUAGUAAGGUCGCCUCAAUAAUAAUUAAUUAACGUAUUGUUUGAUAUAUUAUAAGAUAUAUAAAGUUAACGUGUGGACCAGCCCCAAUGUUGAAACUUCGAAGAAGCUGCCAAGAAAAUGUAAACAAAUUAAGGUUCCAUUUGUUUGCUGGAAAGUAUUAUUUUUUUUGAAGUAAAUUUCGAGUAAAGUGAAUUCCGGGAAAGUAUUUUCCGAUGUUUAGUGUAAUGAAAAAUGAGUUGGAAACACUUUCCAGUAUUUGGUUAUGUCAUAGAAAAUGUGUUGGAAAAUAAUUUAUUAAUAUUUUAUUUUUCUCAAGUUUAUUAAAAUAAUAAGAAACAAAUCUUACAAAUUAAAUGGUUGAAUGAUAAUGAAAUUGAAAAAAAAAUAUAAUUUCAUAAAUUAUCUCAAAUAAAAUAAAUAAUAAUCAAAAUAAUAGAGAUCAAAUCUAAAAAAUUAAAAAAUAAUAAAAGAUGAAGAAAUAAAAAUAAUAAUAAUCAACAUUUCAUAAAUUAUUUCAAAUAAAAUAAGUAACAAUCAAAAGAAUAAGGACCAAAUUUGAUAGAUAAAAAAUUUCAAUAAAAAUAUGAUAAGAAAAAAGCAAAUAGCAAUUAUAAAAAUAAGAACCAAAGUUAAUAUAAAAAUAAAAUUUUAAAAGAUGAAAUUGAAAAAUAAAUAUUCAAAACAAAAUAUAUAUAGCAAUCAAAAGUUUGAGGAUCAAAUUUGAUAUAAUCAGUAAAUAAUGACAUUUCUAAAUUUUUCACAACUCCCGGAAAGUGUUUUCCCCCCAAACUUUUCAGGAAAACACUUUCCUGAAAAGCAAGCCAAAUUUUUCUUUUACUGGAAAGUGUUUUCCAUUGACCAACUUUUCUACUGGCAAACAAACAAAAGAAAGUUUGGAAAGUGAUUUUUCCGGAAAUUACUUUCCGGAAAACAAACACAGCUAAAAAGAAAAUAUUUUCCUGAAAAUCAAGUCAAAUUUUUCUUUGACUGAAAAGUGUUUUCCGUUGACUAAAAAGUGUUUUCCAUUGACCAACUUUUCUAAUGAUAAACAAAUACAGGUGUAACUGGACGACAAAACAGAGUGACCAUUUCUUUUUCUAACAACAGGAAAGUUUGGAAAAUGGUUUCCCGGAAACUACUUUCCGGGAAACAAACAUGGCCUAAAUUUUCUAAAAAGAACAGCAUAUUUCUGCAUGCUGUGAAUUUUUUAAAAAAAUAUUUUUUAUUUAAAUAUAUAUUAAAAUAAUUUUUUAAUUUUUUUUUAUAUUGUCACAUAAAUACAAUUCAAAAAUAUUAAAUACAAACAGUCACUUGAUAUAAUUUUACAGAUUUUUAAUUAGUCUCCCUCAUUUGAGCCAUGUCAUGGUUAAUAGUUAUCAGAAGAACCAACACCCCGACAAAAAUAAUAAUAAUUUCACAGUUGAACAAUGUUUUUUAAAAAACUUGAUAUUUUUUUAUUUUAAAUUAAAAUUUUUAAUAUUUUUAGAUUGAUUUGACAUUUUAAUAUUCAAAAUAAAUUUUAAAAAAUAAUAAAAAUUAUUAUUAAUAUAUUUUUAAAUAAAAAAUAAUUUAAAAAAUAAUUAUUAUCACCAUCAAACAUUAUCUUAUUCCAUGAUAGCAUACCUGAACUUUUCCACAACAAUGGAAAUUAUUAUUUUUUCCAACACCCUUCUACAGAUUUAUAUUCUUAGCCCUCGACCUAUAAAGUAUGAUUUGCUAGCCAAUCUGCACACUAGUUUCUAAUUAAUACAAAGAUGAUCGUGUUUUUUUGUUGCCAAAAUUGUGGGCCAAUAAUUUUCCAUUUUUUUCCGAGUUUUUUAGUGAUUUUUUUUUAUCUCAAAUUCAUAAAUUAAAAAAUUAAUAAAAUAAAAUUUUGAAUUAAAAUUAAAAACCAAAAUUAAAAUGCAAAAUGCAAAAACUCCAGGGAACAGAAUUUUGAAAAACACACCAAGCUACUUUUUUAUUUCAGUAUCAUAUUUGGUGUUCAAAGUUUCAAUUAUUUUUAAUGAAUUAAAUUGAAUAAAAUUUUAUCAAAUCAAAUACCAACUUAAAUUAAUCGUUGAAGCUUUUUUUUUUUUUUUACCUUGAGAACUUCAUAAUUAAUUAAAAUAAAUUAUUAACCUCAAAUUCCCAUGAAUAUAAAAUUAAAAAUAAAAUAAUCAGCUCAAAUAAUAAUUAAUUAACGUAUUGCCUGAUAGUAAGGAAGUUGUCCGGAAGCAACCCACCGCUCACCUACCAAACAUGAGAGUGUUCGGAGAUUAUUUGGUUUUUUGUUUUUUAUGGCCAUAUAAAAAAUAUAUAUUUUUAAUUUUAAAAAAUAUAAUGUAUAUUUUAAAAAAUUAUUUUUUUAAUAAAAAAAUUAUCACAUCUCCGUACCAAAUACACAUAUUAUAUUAUAAGAUAUAAAAAGUUAACAUGUGGACCCCCACCAAUGUUUAAACUUCGAAGAAGCUGCCAAGAAAAUGUAAACACAUGAAAUUUUCAAAAAAGAAUAGUAUAUUUAUGCAUGCUGUAAAUGUUUUUUUAAAAAUAUUUUUUAUUUAGAAAUAUAUUAAAAUAAUAUUUUUAAAUUUUUUACAUUUUAUAUCAUAAUAUCAAAAUAAUUAAAAAUAUUUAAAAUAUAUUUUUAAAAAAUACAUUGGGAUUGUAAAGUUAAACCAGUUCUAACGUUUAAAUUGUUUUAAAAAUAUUUUAAAAAUAUAAAAAUAAACAGGGUUUAAGGUGCAUUUGAAUGUGUCUGCCUUUGAGUGUGUCUAUCAGAGCCGAGUGAUUUUACUUAACCAUGAAUUUUUUGUGAGACAAAUUAUAAUGAAUUUUUUUCUAUUUUACUAAUAUACCCAAGGUGUUUAUAACUAGAUGCUACUUGCUGAGGUGGAUAUUAGCAAUAUCAAAAUUAACUGUAAUGUUAAAACUUUGGAAAGCUAUUUGAGGCAACACCAUGCCCACCAACAUCACCCCAACAAAAAAAGAUGAAUUUUUGUACCUCCCAUAAAGAAAAUAGAUAGAGGUAUGAAAUUUUAUUCUAAAUAUAUUCUUAUAAAAAUUUUAAAAUUCCAAAUCAUGUACAUAUUCUGCACAUCACACAUAAUGACAUCUUUGUUUAGCGAUGGAGCACAGAGUUGAUCAUAAUAUAUAUCUUCCAUGGUCAAGACACAAUGGAUCUGUUGGUUGAGAUGGAUCUCCAUCACAGCCCAACAUCAUUAGCGCUUAUCAAAAGAAGAAGAUUUCGAAUCAGUCCAUUCAUUUCCAUCUGUAGGCAUCUUUCUCAAACAUCAAGGAGAAUUACUUCUAGAUUCUGAGUUGCCACUAAAAAACAAAAAACCCUUACGAACUAGUUCGUCUUCCAAUCCUUAAAUUAGUUUCCUCGUUGUUUUUCACAAUUUUUUAAGAAAAAAAAAUAAAAAAGGAAAAAUAAAAAUAUGAUCAUAAGCUAUAUAUCUAACACUCAUUUUAAAGAAAUUGAUAAUCCAAGAAUUUAAACCUAGCCAGUUAGCUAUAGGACACACAACUCGCUAGGGAUACGAUGAACCUUUUUUUGAUGGCCUUGUAACCCAGCAGAUUGGAAAAAAUAACAACGCUCCUAGGCCAAGCCCGCGAACAUCACCCCCAGCAUAUUGGAAAAAAUGCUCAUAACCAUUUCGGAAAAAACACACCUAGGCUACCAUGGUAUGCUAGAAAGUGGAAAUAAAUCGAUAAUAAUCAUGAAAUAAAUCGUAAGCAGAAAAGAAAAAUAAAUAAAAAUUGUUCAUACUACUCCAUCUUGAUUGAUGGGAAUGACUUCUGACUUGCAUACAUAUGUAAUAUGUAAGACUCCUGCUAAAAUUAUCUGAUAAAUUUUCGUGAAAAAAAAUAAUAAAGUCAGAGAACAACCAUGAAAUGCUUCUUAAAUUAAAUCAAAUGGAGAAGAAAACUCAGGUAAUAAAUGUUUAAUUCACUUUCAAGUGACAAUAAAGAAUGAAAGCAUUUCUAUUCAAUGAUAUUUCUUGGCUCACAAAUAAUCUAUCAACAAUUAUAUGAGAAUCAAAUCUCUCCAAUCACAUGCUCAACACUUAGAAAGCAAAUUUACAGAGUAAUAAGUCUAAUAAACUUCUUGAUGUAGUGCAACAGAUAAUUCUAAAUUUAUUAAAUAGACUCAUUAACAUUUUUUAUGUAUUUAUUGACAUAAAUAAUUCCAAAUUUAUCUAAUUAAAUAUAUACAAAACGUGGUUAGUAUAACUAAACACACUGACUUUUGGCUACCAAACUAGUUUUGGCAUUAAGUGGCUUGUCCCCAGAACCUGGGUCCCAAAUGCCAGCAACCGAACAUAAAAAGGUUUCAACCCCAUGGUGCCUUUUCCCUUGUUGUAAAUAUAAAAUAAAAUUUAAGUCAAGGAGGUCCAGUCUUAAAUGCUCCAAACAUUAUCCUUGUAUCAAGCUUAUGUGAUCCAAGAAUUCAUAUUUAUUAUAAAAUUAUAAUUUAAUAUGAGUUUUUAUCUUAUGAUUCAAGAAGUUUCUAUUGUAUAUUCAAGAAUUUUAAGUUUGUAGUCAAUUUUAUAAUUCAUAAAAAUAUUUGAUCCCUGAAUUAGUUUUCUAAAUGCCUUGCAUAAAUUCUUAAGAGUAAAAAUAUUUUAACAAUAGUUGUCGUGCUAAAAAUGAUACUCUAUUGAACUUUUAUUUCUAAUUCUAUUUUUUAAGUUUUUGAUUUUUGUAAAAUUGAUUGGAAAAAAAAAUCAGGUCAUGUGGGCGCUUAACUCGAAUCAGCAAAAUCAAAGAAUCAAGUGAAUAAUAAAUUUCAAUAUUCAGAGUUGAAGACCGGUGGAGCAAAAUCCGACUCUAGUCUAGAGCGUGUUUGGGAACGUCGUGCAAAUCGUAUUGCUUCAAAAUUAAAAUUUUAUUUGUUUAAAAUUAAUUUUUUUAUGUUUUGAAAUCGUUUUGAUGUGUUGAUAUCAAAAAUAAUUUUUUUAAAAAAAUAUUAUUUUGAUGUAUUUAUAAGGAAAAAACACUUUCAACCGCAAACCGCUCGUUUGAGAUUGUGGUAGUGAUUGUGGUUCAAAGUGUUUUUCGCUUAGAAAUACAACAAAAUUAUUUUUUUUUAUUUUAAAAAAUUAUUUUUGAUAUCAACACAUCAAAACGAUCUAAAAACAUAAAAAAAAAUUAACAAAAAAGAAAUUCAAAGUUUAAGUAAACAUGAUUUCCAUGGCAUUCCCCAAUAUGCCCGAAUCAAAGACAUUCUAAUCUCGUUACUUUUUAGAGAUCUCUUAAUUUUCAAGAGAACCUUAACCAUCCCUUUAUGCAAGUGUAUGCUUUGCCAAACAAUCCUUCAGGAGAAUGGGUUCUCAAACAUGCCAAAUUGUUUUUCAAAUAAUUCAAAAUUCCUAAAACAAACACUAUAUUAAAUUCAUCUAUAUCGGCAUGGGUUGAUCUAUCCAACCUAGUAAUAUGUCAUAGGAUUGGAAUCUGAUUAUGUAACAAUAGGGAAAAAAUGUCAGAUUUUUGUUUUUUUUAUUGGAUUUACUUUCUAUGUGGUCAAUCUUGCCAUUAUCAUGAGUUUCUAAAGUUAACAUAGGCUGAUUUUAAUAUUUUUCAGGUUUUUUUUUUAUUUUUUUAAUAUUAUUUUUUUAGAGUUGAUCUUUAUGAUUUUUUUAUGGAACAAUAGGGAAAUUUUUUUUAUAAAUUAUUUAUUUAAUUAUAUGAUAAAAAUAAAUGCUCCUCAAAUUGAGUAUCAUUUUUAAAAUAAUUCUAUAAAAAAUAAAUUAUAUUUAUUUAAGAUUAUAAUAAUUCUAUAAAAAAUAAAUAAAAAUAAAUCAUAUAGUUUAUUUACAAAGCAAUCUAAUAAUAUUAAAGAAUAACAUAAAAAAAUAAAAAAAAAUAUAUCAGAGAAAUCACAUAAGUUUGAUAGCAAGGAAGGAAGUUGCUGAGAAGGAACCCGCCGCUUACCUAACAAACAUUAUAUUAUAAGAUAUAGGAAGGUAACGUGUGGACCCCCUAAUGUUGAAACUUUGAAGAAGCUGCCUGUAAAAUGUAAACACGUGAAUAUGAGAAAGAAUAGCAUAUUAAGGUAGUAGAUAUCUCUUCCAUUUUUUUCCUCUUCAUAAUGCAUGGAUUUAAGUUGCUUGGAGAUUUCAUUAAUGAAAUUAUUAUUUUUUUAUUUUUAAUAUUAGUAUAUUAAAAAAUAUUUUUUCAAGAUAAAUAAUUUUUAAAAAUAUAUUCAAACACAAUUUUAAAUAUAAAAAUAAAUUAUGUCUUGAUUCUAUCGUAACAAUCUUCAUCUUCAAAGAUAAAUUAUUAAGAUCGUGACCUAUGUUCUCGAUUGAACUAGGAAGGUAUGGACUCUAAAUCCUAUAUAUAUAGAUAAAUUAGUAGAAAGGACAAAAACCCUAGUGCAAAAGUCCUAUAAACUAGCCAAACAAAUCAUACCCAGAAAAUCAAAAGCCAGAAACAUUCUAGCUCAAUUUUUGCUCCCCCUAGCUAAGAAAUGCAUAAUGCCCGCUUUGAAUUAUAGAUCAUCCAAAUUCCAGGGUAAAUAAUUGGAGAGUAAUUUGAUAGUGCUUAUAAAUUAAUUAAUGUCAUUUUAUUAAUUAUUAUUUUAUAUUUAUUUUAAAGAAAUAGAGAGAUAAACUAGAAGAAGAAAAAUCCAAGGUAAAAAUAUUCUUAUUAUUUUUUGUGUUUGUUUUUUUAAGUGAAUCCAAAAAAUAACCAAUAAUAAAUGACUAAUUACAUCCAAAGAAUAAUGCGGUGACGGUAGCACAGCAUUGAUUCUACAUGGGGACAAAUUAAAAGAAUAGAAGAAAAUAUUAAAUGAUUUAAUAGAGAAUAAAAUUUAAUUUUAAAUGCAAAUUAAAAUAAAGUAGAGUGACUAAUGGAGGAAGUACUGGAAUUCUACGAACAGUAGAGCGUCGGGAAUCCUUGCACACCUUUGGUAUUUUAAUUAUUCUUAUUUCGUUUAAUAACUCAAUAGGAUGAAAAAAAAAUAUUAAUCAAACUUCAAAUUAUAAUUAUUUAUCAUUUGAGUUAAAAAAAAAUAUGACAAUUCAGUAGUCUUUAAUGAAAUAAAAAAAAAUAAAAAAUGUUAUUUAUGUAAUUGUGCUUAACUUUACAAAGGGACGAAGGACAUUCUUUGCAUUAGGAUGCUCCCACUCCACUACCGUCUCCCACCAUUCUUUUGGAUAUACUAUGAUUUCUUCAAGAGAAGGGGGAGGAGAUGGCUGGCCAUUUUCAAGCAACGGAAGACAAAUUGGCAUCCUCUUCAGCUUCUGACAACGGAAUACAUUAAUUUCUUCAAGAGAAUUGCAAAUCAGUUUUGCACUACAAAUGCUUUUCAGUUCUGGUAAUUCAAAUAAAUUCAGAAUUCUUAACUUUGGGAGAAUGACUUCCGUGAUAGAAUUGGAGGUGCUGCUUUCUUCAUCUGUUGUUCCUAUUAUCUCCUCCAUUUUCUCACACUCAUUAACUUCAAUCACUUCCAGGUUUACCAGGUUUGGCAGCAACACAAGUGGGAACAGCUUCUUCAUACUUUUACAUCUAACAUAAUAAAACUCUUUAAGACCAGAAAACAUACCAUUAUAUGAUGGCAAUGGUGGCGGAUCAAAGCAGAAACAAGAAGAUGAAACCAAGCUCUCCAUGCUAUUGCAAUCCACAAUGUUGAUGUGCUCCAGUUCAGUUGCAUUCUCUAAUGACAAAACAUCACAUAAACUUCUUGCAUCGAUGCAUUCACAAACCAGUCCUUGAAUGCCAUUUAAGAACUUGACCUGAAAAUCUCCGUCUCCGUUGAUACUCAAAUUACCCAACCCAACUGUUUUACUUGGAAAAUUCAAUGCUUGCCAAAUACACCCACCUCUCCUACUAAAAUUUUGUAUGUGCUUAAUGAUUGGAUCCCAUCCCGAGAUCUGAGAUACUCCACGAAGUCAGGGAAACCUUCGAAAUGGCAUUCCAAAGUUUCUAAAUUUCUCAAGGAUCCUACUUCCUUUCCUUUAACUGUUAUCGGAGCAUUCGUAAAAUUUUCUAGUACAAAGACUUGCAGGUGAGAGAGUUUUGGUAAUAUCCCACUAGGAAACUCCUUUUCACCACAUCCAUGCAUUCUAAGAUACCUCAGGUUGGUUAGGCAUUCCAUUCCUUGCGGCAUCUUUGCAAGUGCCCGAGUAUCAGAGAGAUCCAACCUCUUCAGUGCCCUGAGCUUCUUUAAUGAUGGAACAUAUCUUAAGUUCUCACACAUUUUGAGCAAUAACGCAGUGAGACUCACCAAAUCAGAGACAGAGUCUGGCAAGUUUUCAAUACCUGUGCAAGACAGAUCGAGGACCUUGAGCCCAUGCAAUUGCUUGAAAAAUGAAUCCGCAAUCAAUGCAACUUUAUUUCACAUAGAAAUAGAGUUGAAAUGGACACUUGGUGAAUACUGGAAGGAAUUUCUUGAUCUUGUUUUUCAUUAGUGAAACUCGUCAGAUUCUCCGUCCACUCCUCUGCAUUUGGCAGCUCUUUUAAUUGCGCACCUGCUUUAACCAUAACUUGAGAGUUGUCUUGUAGUAUUUGGAUGGCCAUGUCCCUAAUCAAGUCAUGCAUCUUGACACAUCUACGACCAUCGUCCAUUUUAGCACUUUCCAAUAGGCAGACAUUUUCAAGUCUAUUAAGCAUCGUGUGGCCCUCAUCAAAUGCAUCUCCCCUGCUCCUCAUUCCUUUAAUUAUUCCCUCAUCAAUCAAAUAACCUAUCAACUCCUCCCUUUCAAUCUUACCAUCUUCAGGAAAUAAUGCACAGUACAAGAGACAUCGUUGUAGUGCUAAAUCACCUAACCGAUCAUAACUAAACCUCAAUAACUUGAAUACUUUCUCAUCUAUGUCCCUAAAUUCUGAUUCUCUCAAUUUGUUCAAUGUAUUUCUCCACUCAUGUAGGUCAUCCACUCCCCUCAAGCUUCUUGCUACUGUAAUAAUUCCCAAUGGCAAACCAUCACAUUCCUCUGCAAUAGCUUUUGCAAUCCCUUCCACUUCUCGCGAAAGUGCUUUGUCACGUCCAAGUUUCUCCAAGAACAAAUUCCAAGCUUCUCCAUCAGAAAGUGGCUUCACUUUGAUUUUGUGAUUGCAAGCAAUUCCAUGACAAACCGUUUCUAAUCGAGUUGUCAAAAUCAACUUGCAUCCUUCCAACUUCUCAGGAAUUCCCACUUUGUCUAGCUCAAAAUCAUUCCACAAAUCAUCUAGAAUGAGAAUCCAUUUUUGUUUCUUCAUUAGUUCUUCUGACAAUUUGGCAGCUCUAUGCAGAUCAUCAUCUUCGCUUGAAAGGUCUAGAUGAAGACGUUUAGCAAUAAGAUUCUGCAAUCUAUUAAUGCUGAAAUCUUGAGACACAGUCACCCACCAAACAUGAUCACAAAUAUCUGGUCUUUGUGGAAGCUCAUUAUGGAUAUGUUGCAGUACUGUGGAUUUACCAACUCCCCCCAUCCCAUAAAUGCCAAUGGUUGGGACUUCAUCAUCCAUUAACAAAGACCAUAUCACCUUCGUAUUCUCUUCGAAUGCUUGACCCACCGGCAUUGUAGAGCUAGUAGGUAAUGGAACUCCUCUAGUCUUGUUGUAUUUCAGACUUUCAGAAGAUCUAGCUACAGCACCAACCUGCACUGAUCUUCGACUAUUCUCCACAUCCUCCUCCACUGGUUCUGUCCUCACUCUAACCCGAUUAAUUCUCUCUUCCCCGGCACAUUGUUCCAGCACCCCCUGAACUCCCACUUGUAUCCUUCCAGCAGCCCCUGCCAAAUUGCCAAGUACUGCAUUGCUUUGUUCCAACGAUCGAUCCACUGGUUCUGUCCUCGGUCUGCUCUCGAGUGCCCCUUCGGAAACUCCAUCUUCUUGUGCUCUCAUUCCGGUCAUGCUUACUACGUCGUUUCCUGCUAUUGCAUGUGAAGUAAUCCUCUCUUCCCCUACUCCGGGUUCUACAUCCUGAACUUCUCUUUGUACCAUUCCAAUUCCUCCUGUGAUUUUAUGUCUUUUGUUGCCACCACACAUAGCUUUCCAGGCUGCUUCUUGAACUUCUUUAGGCACCCCACGACAAAUGGCAACAUUAUGCCCUUCCUCUCCUGAUAAAUGCCAUUUGAUCCUUGAAAUUGUGGUUUUAUUGGCAAAUGUAUGUGGACAAAACUUACACUUCAUGCUACCAUCAUCAGCCCUUUCAACAUAAUUCCAAAAUGAAU